rnacentral:rRNA from 1 species
GACGAACGCUGGCGGCGUGCUUAACACAUGCAAGUCGAGCGGUAAGGCCCUUUCGGGGGUACACGAGCGGCGAACGGGUGAGUAACACGUGGGUGACCUGCCCUCAGCUCUGGGAUAAGCCUGGGAAACUGGGUCUAAUACUGGAUAUGACUCCACGGUGCAUGUCGCGGGGUGGAAAGCCUUGUGCGGCUGAGGAUGGGCCCGCGGCCUAUCAGCUUGUUGGUGGGGNGAUGGCCUACCAAGGCGACGACGGGUAGCCGGCCUGAGAGGGCGACCGGCCACACUGGGACUGAGACACGGCCCAGACUCCUACGGGAGGCAGCAGUGGGGAAUCUUGCGCAAUGGGCGAAAGCCUGACGCAGCGACGCCGCGUGAGGGAUGACGGCCU